rnacentral:rRNA from 1 species
CCUACGGGAGGCAGCAGUGAGGAAUAUUGGUCAAUGGGCGGAAGCCUGAACCAGCCAAGUAGCGUGAAGGAUGACGGCCCUACGGGUUGUAAACUUCUUUUAUGCGGGAACAAAGUGCGCCACGCGUGGCGUUUUGCGCGUACCGCAGGAAAAAGCACCGGCUAAUUCCGUGCCAGCAGCCGCGGUAAU